AGGCGGGGACGGCCUUCCAUCUCCAUUAUUUCAUGGACGGGCGAUGCUAAGUCUGGGUUCCUCUAUUGGGAGGCAGGUAGUCUCCUCUUGGGGUCACCUUGUCCAUCUCCUGUCUCCUUGGAGGGCACCCCAUCAUGGUCACAUAGAUGAGAAGCCUCCGGCCUCAGAGCUGCCUUAACCCCUGCUCAGAAAGGAGAGGGACACGGGAGAAAGGAGUGGAGGCCACAUGGCCAAAUCGGUCCUCUGACCACGGCACUUCACACGGUACACUUGUCCCCCCACUCCCACGUUCUGGUGACAAAAUUCUGCUAAGGAAAGGGAGAGAGGGCAGGAACACUUGGGAGGACAGGAAUAGGAUGCAGUCAGGACAGUUUUCCUACCAGCCUGCAGGGUUGUGUAACAAUGAAAAAUUGUAUUUUGCAAGUGGAACCAAGCUUUCUGUCUUGGAGGAUCUGCAGAAGGUCACCCCUCCCACGGUCACAGUGUUUGAACCAUCAGAAGCAGAGAUCUCGCGGACCCAGAAGGCCACGCUCGUGUGCCUGGCCACGGGCUUCUACCCCGACCACGUGGAGCUGAGCUGGUGGGUGAACGGGAAGGAGGUCACGAGUGGGUUCAGCACCGACCCGCAGCCCUACAAGGAGAGGCCCAGCGAGAAUGACUCCAGCUACUGUCUGAGCAGCCGGCUGAGGGUCUCUGCCUCCUUCUGGCACAACCCGCGCAACCACUUCCGCUGCCAAGUCCAGUUCUAUGGGCUCGGGGACGACGAUGAGUGGAAAUACGAUAGAGUCAAACCCAUCACCCAGAACAUCAGUGCUGAGGCCUGGGGCAGAGCAGACUGUGGCUUCACCUCGGUGUCCUACCAUCAGGGCGUCCUGUCUGCCACCAUCCUCUAUGAGAUCCUGCUGGGCAAGGCCACGCUGUAUGCUGUGCUGGUCAGCGUCCUGGUGCUGAUGGUCAAGAGAAAGGGUUCCUGAAACUAGUUCAGAGGCAGAGCCAGCAGCUUCCAGCCUGCUGUUGCCCCAGGACGGAUUCUCCUUUUUCCACUUCUAGCCAGUGCUUCUCAAGAGCUGUCUUCAUCUCUCUGCUCACCCCCAACACCUAUCCCCUAUGUUUGUACACACCUGAAUGCUCAUGACCCAAAUCUCCCUAACCCCGGGGGUCCCUAGUGUGACCACAUUGACCGAAUCAAUAAAAAUGGCCUGACCUGGUUUGAC